GACGAACGCUGGCGGCGUGCUUAACACAUGCAAGUCGAACGGAAAGGCCCUGCUUUUGUGGGGUGCUCGAGUGGCGAACGGGUGAGUAACACGUGAGUAACCUGCCCUUGACUUUGGGAUAACUUCAGGAAACUGGUGCUAAUACCGGAUAGGUGCUCCUGCUGCAUGGUGGGGGUUGGAAAGUUUCGGCGGUUGGGGAUGGACUCGCGGCUUAUCAGCUUGUUGGUGGGGUAGUGGCUUACCAAGGCUUUGACGGGUAGCCGGCCUGAGAGGGUGACCGGCCACAUUGGGACUGAGAUACGGCCCAGACUCCUACGGGAGGCAGCAGUGGGGAAUAUUGCACAAUGGGCGGAAGCCUGAUGCAGCAACGCCGCGUGCGGGAUGACGGCCUUCGGGUUGUAAACCGCUUUCGCCUGUGACGAAGCGUGAGUGACGGUAAUGGGUAAAGAAGCACCGGCUAACUACGUG
rnacentral:rRNA from 1 species